rnacentral:rRNA from 1 species
UCCGUAGGGUCCGAGCGUUGUCCGGAAUUACUGGGCGUAAAGAGCUCGUAGGUGGUUUGUCGCGUUGUUCGUGAAAAUUCACAACUCAAUUGUGGGCGUGCGGGCGAUACGGGCAGACUUGAGUACUGCAGGGGAGACUGGAAUUCCUGGUGUAGCGGUGGAAUGCGCAGAUAUCAGGAGGAACACCGGUGGCGAAGGCGGGUCUCUGGGCAGUAACUGACGCUGAGGAGCGAAAGCGUGGGGAGCGAACAGG